UCCAAAUCUGCCGGACAAAGCCGUCAUUAUCAACGCGCUCUUUGAUUACCUGACCGUGUCUGCUGAGCAGAAUAAAUUCACAGAGUUCCUGACCAACCUUACCGUGUUCAUUCACCCGGAAAACUUCACUUGCUCUUCAUACAAAACGCUGUUUGCCAGACUGGACUUGGCCCUACCUGUGGUUUCCCUUGGCAUCGCUACAACUAUCACACAGACUAAAGAGGCUCUAUCCCACCAACUACCACCUGACUGCAUCAUUUACAGUGGACAGGUAAUUGUAUGUUUUAGAUUAUUUGUUUUGUCUUACAUUAGUCUUAAUAUAGUAGAUUUGUAACGCGCUCUGUUUUUGUUUCUCUUACAAGUGUAAUGUCAGCGUGGCAAAUGGUAAGUUCUUC
ensembl:lncRNA